UGGGGAAUUUUGGACAAUGGGGGAAACCCUGAUCCAGCCAUCCCGCGUGUGCGAUGAAGGCCUUCGGGUUGUAAAGCACUUUUGGCAGGAAAGAAACGUCAUGGGUUAAUACCCCGUGAAACUGACGGUACCUGCAGAAUAAGCACCGGCUAACUACGUGCCAGCAGCCGCGGUAAUACGUAGGGUGCAAGCGUUAAUCGGAAUUACUGGGCGUAAAGCGUGCGCAGGCGGUUCGGAAAGAAAGAUGUGAAAUCCCAGAGCUCAACUUUGGAACUGCAUUUUUAACUACCGGGCUAGAGGGGGUCAGAGGGAGGUGGAAUUCCGCGUGUAGCAGUGAAAUGCGUAGAUAUGCGGAGGAACACCGAUGGCGAAGGCAGCCUCCUGGGAUAACACUGACGCUAAUGCACGAAAGCGUGGGGAGCAAACAGG
rnacentral:rRNA from 1 species